GCCGUAAACGAUGAUAACUAGCUGUCCGGGCUCAUGGAGCUUGGGUGGCGCAGCUAACGCAUUAAGUUAUCCGCCUGGGGAGUACGGUCGCAAGAUUAAAACUCAAAGGAAUUGACGGGGGCCUGCACAAGCGGUGGAGCAUGUGGUUUAAUUCGAAGCAACGCGCAGAACCUUACCAGCCUUUGACAUCGUAGGACGACUUCUGGAGACAGAUUUCUUCCCUUCGGGGACCUAGUGACAGGUGCUGCAUGGCUGUCGUCAGCUCGUGUCGUGAGAUGUUGGGUUAAGUCCCGCAACGAGCGCAACCCUCGUCCUUAGUUGCCAUCAUUUAGUUGGGCACUUUAAGGAAACUGCCGGUGAUAAGCCGGAGGAAGGUGGGGAUGACGUCAAGUCCUCAUGGCCCUUACAGGCUGGGCUACACACGUGCUACAAUGGCAUCUACAGUGAGCAGCGAUCCCGCGAGGGUUAGCUAAUCUCCAAAAGAUGUCUCAGUUCGGAUUGUUCUCUGCAACUCGAGAGCAUGAAGGCGGAAUCGCUAGUAAUCGCGGAUCAGCAUGCCGCGGUGAAUACGUUCCCAGGCCUUGUACACACCGCCCGUCACACCAUGGGAGUUGGAUUCACCCGAAGGCGGUGCGCUAACCUUUUAGGAGGCAGCCGACCACGGUGGGUUCAGCGACUGGGGUGAAGUCGUAACAAGGUAGCCGUAGGGGAACCUGCG
rnacentral:rRNA from 1 species